UACGUAGGGGGCUAGCGUUGUCCGGAUUUAUUGGGCGUAAAGAGCGUGUAGGCGGCCAGGUAGGUCUGCUGUGAAAACUCGAGGCUCAACCUCGAGACGUCGGCGGAAACCAUCUGGCUAGAGUCCGGAAGAGGAGAGUGGAAUUCCUGGUGUAGCGGUGAAAUGCGCAGAUAUCAGGAAGAACACCGGUGGCGAAGGCGGCAUCCUGGACCGGUACUGACGCUGAGGCGCGAAAGCCAGGGGAGCAAACAGG
rnacentral:rRNA from 1 species